UUAUUUUCUUACAUUUGUAACAAAAGAGGUAUUUUUGAGGUGUAAAAUUUUUUACCUUAUUUCAACUAAAAAGAGUGAGAUAUUUAUUGAGGUAUAUGAAGUCAUUUUAUUUAUACCUAAGCUUAUUUUGAGGUUGUUUUAAAUUCACUUCAAAUCAACCAGACUGAUAAGGUGAUUUUUAAGGUAUAUCAAGUUGAUUUUCUGAUACUUGUAAUAAAAGAGGUAUUUUUGAGGUAUAAAAAAAUUGACCUUAUUUCAACUAACGAGAGUGAGAUAUUUAUUGAGGUAUAUGAAGUCCUUUUAUUUAUACCUAAGCUUAUUUUGAGGUUGUUUAAAAUUCACUUCAUAUCAACCAGAAUCAUGAGGCAGUUUUUAAGGUUCACCAGGUUGUUUUUUUUACACUUGUAACAAAAGAGGUAUUUACGAGGUAUAAAAAAUAUAAUUUUUUUCAACUAAAGAGAGUGAGGUCUUUAUUGAGAUGUAUGAAGUCAUUUUAUUUAUACCUAAGGUUGUUUUAAGGUUGUUUAAAGUACACUUCAUAUCAACUAGCUCACUUCCCAGAGUUCCGUGCUAGCCGGCAAAUGGCGUGUGUGUUUACAAUCGAAAGUUUCUUUAAAAUUCGAGCUGCUCCGUAAAUGGCAUCCAGAAUUUCAAGGUUUGAAUAAGGCUGUCAAUAAUACGUGCUCUGCAGCUAGGAGGAAGUGGAGACUAGUAACUGGAGAGCCUUCCCCUGGGAGUAACUCUAAAUAUACACCAAAAAGAAAAAAGACAAGUUCCAAUGCUCCAAAUAACGUAAGCACAGCAAACUUGCAGAAGAAGCAGAGUAAUUGUCAAGAAUUUUGAUUUCUUGAACGAAAAAUUAAUUUUUUUUUGUUAAUAAAAGUUUUUAUUUGUAA